rnacentral:lncRNA from 1 species
UUCAUUUUCAAUGUUUUUAGACUCAACUCUCAACGGUAAAUAUAUGCGACUCUGACUAACAUUUUUCAUCGGAUUCGUAUUUGCUCAUUUUUUAUCCAUUUGGUACGAAGAAGAUAUCAUUCAACAGCCAAAAUCAUGAUCUUUCCGAAUGUGAAAAAAUCUCGUUCAUACGCAGAGUAAUUCAGAUACAAUAGCGCGCUGAAGUUCGAUUACCUUUUUUUU